rnacentral:rRNA from 1 species
UACGUAGGGGGCUAGCGUUGUCCGGAAUCAUUGGGCGUAAAGCGCUUGUAGGCGGCCCGGUAAGUCCGCUGUGAAAGUCGGGGGCUCAACCCUCGGAUGCCGGUGGAUACUGUCGGGCUUGAGUGCGGAAGAGGCGAGUGGAAUUCCUGGUGUAGCGGUGAAAUGCGCAGAUAUCAGGAGGAACACCAAUUGCGAAGGCAGCUCGCUGGGACGUUACUGACGCUGAGACGCGAAAGCGUGGGGAGCAAACAGG